CUUAGAGACAUUGUAUUCACCAGGAUUCUGCCAUGAUUGCCACCUCUGGAGACGUCACAGCCAGCACAGCCAUGACCAGGGAUGAACUUGGCCAUUGUCCAGCAGCACCAUGGGAGGACCAGCUGCUGUAAGUGAAGGUCAUCAUCCAUCUGAUUUGCUGGCUUUUUGCAACUACUGCGGUGGAAGUCUUAGAGUAGCCACCUUCUCUGUACUCAGACCUUCACUUCGCCAGAUGUCAGCACAGCAGUGUCAGCAGCUUCGUCAAACACAAACACCACCACCUCUCUGGAUCAGAAGCACAUGGAAAGCCCACCUUGCAAGAAGACCCAGCUAUUCCAAAAGUACCCAUAUCCCUGUAGCAUCCUCUUAGCUGAAUGUCUCUACUCCUUAAACUUGUACCACUUUGAAGAGUAAAAAUUUAAAUUCAUUCAUAUUAUCAUUUUUUAGUUUUUAGUAUAAGUGGAGCUGUUUAUCGGCCAUUUGUAUGUCCUUUUCUUUUUUUUGCAAAUUACUCCUUUGCCAAAUUUUCUCUCAAAUGACUCAUCUUUUUCUUAUUGAUUUGCAGAAGCUAUUUACAUAUUAUGGAUGUGGGGUGUCUAACAUACAC
rnacentral:lncRNA from 1 species